GUCCUCCGAACCUGGUGGAAACAGAUUAGAAGUUCAUUGACAAAUGCAUAAGUGUCCUCGAGGAUACUGCGACUGGCCGGAAUCCAGAGCAUUUGGAACCAUCCCACACCCGCCUCGCCACCGAGCCACCUUCUCAGAUUCUUUCUCCUUCCUCUGAUGGGGCAAGACUGCUGGCCUGACCCUGGAAGCGAAACCCUGACCAACUGUGGCCCAAAAGGAAGCUGAGCCUAGGAUGAGGGGCCCAUGUGGUGGGGAGGCGGCAGGUGAUACAAAUAUGGCUUUCCCCACAGAUCAGUUAGUUACCCAGGGACACAGGAGCACUGGCUGAAUGCCAGCUGUGAGAAGCAGGGUGUGCUGGGUGGUGGUGGGGGGUGUGUGUGUGCAGGCUGGGGAGUUGGCUGCUGAGGAUUUGAAAUAAACCAUGAAUCAAAGCUAGAAUGAAAUGCAUUACGUUGUUGAACCUAGAGUCAACACCCUAAAUUAUUUUUUACUGACUCACAAAUGCACACAUUUCUCUUAGUACCUUAAUACAAAAACCACAGCUUCCAGCGGUACUCUUGAACUAGUCAGCGACGCACUGUGAACAUUAGAAUGUUAUCAGGAUUGAGCUGGCACUUGAUGUGGUUUGAAUCUAGGCUUGGUUAUCACAGAAAGGCUACUAGCCUAGUCCCAUCUUCACCCUGUAGGGAGUAAGUCUAAGAAACCCUGGGGUCCUCCCAUCUUUGGAGCUGUGAUGGGGUUUGGGACUUAAGAGAGGCAGAGACUCCCAAGUAAGACUGACCAAGGAGGUAGUAAGUCCCCCACACUGGAGGUAUUCAAGAAUCCAGAUAAUAUCAGUCAGAUAUGCAGAGAAAAGUUUCCCAUACUGGAUGCUAGACUAGGUUAGGGACCCUCUUAGGCACAUCGCAAUCCUCUAGCUGCACUUCCAGGCAUGUCUUCAUGUGGGGCAGCUCCUCUGGGUUGGAUGAGCAUCUGCAAACUGGGGUGGCCGGGAUGCGCAGAUUGGGUCCUGAGUGAUUAAGUCCUGUGUGUGACUCCCUCUCCUUCUCUAUCCUCCUCUGAUCCACACCCAACUCAGCCCUGCCCAGGAAUAGGGUAGAACAAUAGGACAGGAAGAGCAGGAAAACAGUCUGGGGGACAGCAUCUCCUUCAGCAUCCACAUGCCUCCCUGUGGCUGUUUCUAGGCUGCUGGGCCCCACACCAGGAGAGGGACCAGGCACACCCUCCUUUGAAGAGCCCUGGCAUCUGGCAGAGGCCUUCUGGUUGAGGGGGUUGUCUAUGCACUGCCACUCUACAGACUGGGCAGGGGCACUGGGAACUGACAUUUCACCAUGGGCAAUGGCUCUUGGAGCCCCACCAGCUCUAGGGCAUCAGCCAGCCAGUCUUUCUGGGAGGGUGUUGGACAGGCACACUGGGCAGGGCAGGUACUUCACAGCUACCUCAGCCUGUGGCUGUUGGGGCUGAUGUAACUCUGAGCACAGCCUGGGCUGAGAGCUCAGGUUGGGACCUAAGAGGAAAGAUAUGAUCGACCUGUGGUUUAGAAACACAGACUCAUUACCCUUUCCUGCACCUUUCUGCUGUGUGAAGUGAAAAGCUGCCUGGGGACCAGGGGCACUUCCUGAGGACCAGGAGCACCACCUACAAGCCUUCAGUCUCCUUCCAGGGCUCAUUCUCUGGGUGCCUCUGCCUGCCCCUAAUAACAGUAGUAAUGCCUGCUACUUAUGGAAUGCUUGCCAUGGGCUCAGCCCACACUAAGCUACUUACACAUAUUCUCUCACUCAAUUCUUCACAACAACCCUGGCCUAGAAGUACUAUACUAUUAUUAUUCUCAUCUUACACAUGAGGAAACUGAGGUUCAGAGUGGUCAAGGAACUAGCUCAAGGUCUUGUAGUGACUGAGUGGUGGAGCUAGAAUUUCAACCCAAGUGUAUCUGCUCCCAGACUAUUGUCUCUUAUCUCUGUAUUGCUCUGACGUCCCUGGUUCUAAGGACAUGUGGGGUCAAAUCCCUGGGAACAAUUGGGGUAGGCACCGGUCUUGGCCUUCUUAUGUCAAUAGUGACCACCACCCAGGAAGGGUGAGUUGUGUGACACAGAAGUGGGGGGUAUCCUUCUCUCAUUUCUGACAAGGGCAUGAGGACCCCCACAUGGCACUGGGUGUGAGGGCAGAGGGGGCCUCAGCUUCUCCCACCCUCUCACUGAGGCCCAGCUAGAUUUCCCCAGUCAGGAGCCUGAAGUCCCUUGCAUCAAGCCAUCUGUCCUUCCCAUACACAGACUGGGAACAGGACCAUCAGGCUCAUGGCAGCACUCCUGGGUGGGGGGGCUGGCAUGUCCUCUUGCUACUUGGCUCGAGGAAGCCCUUGGAGCCUGGGCUCCAGGAGGAGUAGCUAGUUGCCCACUCAUCCUGCGGCCCCCAGCACCAGGAGAGGGGCACUCUUUGGAGAAGACCCCUUCCUUCUCCUCCCUUUGAGGCAGUCCAACAUCAUUCCCUUCCUGUUCUUGGGGUGGCUGGGCCAGAGUCUCUCGUCUUGAUGGUAGCAACUAUCUCUCUGUGCUGAUGGGGCAGAGAGGUAGGUGCAAACUUCUGAGGGUCUGGGAAUGUGAACUGACGGAGCUGACAUUGCCAAGCCCCUGGGACCCCUACACAGGAGGCAAGCAGACAAGAGUCUAGCUGCAGAGAGCGUGGGUUCUCACAGGAUUGGAAGCCUCUGCCUCUCCAGAAUUCCAGCAGGUCCCAGACUCAGUUUCUUGAUGUGUAUAAUGGGGGGAGACAGUGUCCUUCUCCACUGGGAAGGUGAUGGAAUGAUGCAGUACUGGUGUACAGGGGCCCUGAGGACCAGCACUCCCAGAGUGAGAGAGGUCCUUGACCCUUAGUCCUUACAGCUGCUAGCAAAGGCACCUCCCCUCCCCCAGGUUGUACAUGAACACAACUGUCCCAGGGAGAAACAGAGCCCCGAUUGAGGUGGCAUAGAAUCCUAGGGAUUUUCCAGAAGAGCUAGCUGCUAAAUCAGCCCAGCAGGUCUAUCCACUCCGGAUUCUUGAGAGGAUCCCCAGGUGACAGCACUGUCUGGACCCAGUUAGGUGUUUGGGGAAAGUUCAUGGGACUCCCCUGUCUGGCUGCUGCACAGAUGAGUCCUUCUGCCACCUUGAACUUCAGCUGAGGGAAACUACCACACCCAGGAGCCUCCAGCCUCUCUCUGCCUGGCUUUUUCUAAAGUUCUGCAUCUGUACUAGGCUUCCUCCACCAAUAGGAAUACAUAGGCUGUCUUCCCCAAACAUGUACUCACACUGGGGACUGCACCUGCCUGAUAGUCCCUGAGGGGCCUGGUGAUCUGAACAAACCACUCAGAUGUGGAGGUCACUGUCCAUCCACCCCAAAGGGUGGAAGCAGGGGCAGGGCAGGCUGCGGUACCCUGCCCAGUUACAUGGGGGUAUGAGCUACCCUGGGGAGGGCUGGGAACAGAAAAAGCCACCUCUGUGCUAAGGACACUCAUUUUAGAGACAUCAUAAAUUAAUGUAAUAUUUUCUCACUCUGAUCACUGUGCAGCCCCUGCUCUUACUGGGCUCCAAAGUUUAUGGGCAUCCAAAUGUCUAUUGCUGGUAGUUUAGCUCUCUGACUGGCAUCUUCACUGGCAGAACUAACAGCUGGAAGCCUCUUGAAUGGAAGCCGUUCGCUGUCCUUUCCUCUCUCUUCUGAGCCUCCAGUGGCUGCCCCGUGUCUGAGACUGGAGCAGGACUGUGACUCGCACCCAUACCUUGGAGCCCAGGGCCAGACAGGCAGGAAGGACAGCCCGAACUCACAGAUACUCUCUGUCGGACAGGAGAGGAAAUUGAGAGCAGAGAGCUGAGGUACUGCUCUGAGGCCACCCAGGCAGGAAGAGGCAGCUCUGGGCCUGACUCUCACCUGCCUGACUCCAUGCUGGUCACCACCCACCCUCCUGCCUCUUUGAGUGCUUGUGUAUCUCUGGAUACUAGUCUUCUGCCCCCAGCUGUAGAAGUUGCUUCUUCCUUUGUGUUCUCAACUGAUCUUUUUUUGUCCAUCUUUAUUAAGUUCUAUGUUAAGAACCAUCUUCCAGUGUCAAUCUAAACUUACAAAUUACCUGGACUGGAUGGGUCGGGCUGGCAACUUCAGCAAUGAGUCUGGGGCCCAGAAUGGGCAAAAGGUGACCCCAUGGAUCUGAAGUCCGGCUGACUUCUGUUAGGGCUCACCCCAAGCUCAGCUUUCCUUUCUAGUCCUCUGCUGAAGGGCUGUAAGCUUCCCAGUGCAAGCGCUCCGUCCCUUCAUUUUAUUGGCACCCCCGUCCCACCCUUCCCACCACCAGUGCUUUGUUCUUCAUAGUCAGGCAGUCUGUGUUCCCACCUGCAAGCGAGGGAGUCAGAACAAGGUGCCAGCUGCCACCCCCAGGUGCUGCCUGGAGCUGCCCUCUUGCCAAGAAAAGACAAGCUCCCCUUUCUCUCACAGCUCACACAGCUCACCUUAGCCCUCAGGAAGGUGGGAGCUCUUCCUGCCUCCAAGGCUUCCAUUUUCCAUGCUCUCUUCCAACCUGUGGGCUAGCCCACUUCUUUUAGGGGCAGGCCGCACAACACCUGCUUAUGAAGAUUGUUAGCCCUCUUCCUACUGCCCAAGUGCUGGGAACUGUGCCUGAGCCCUGGGCCUUUCCAGUCACGGUGUGGAGGGCGCCCUAUGGGGAAGAGCUCAGUUUCAGGCCACGGGAUAGCUUUCCAUGUGCCCUUGCUGCCUUCUGCACCCAGGGCUCAGGGCAUUAGAGAUAUCUCUGGGGCUGUUGGGCCCAGAAUGCAGUUUCUUAGUGUUGCCGCCUCCUCCCUGGCUGGUCCACCAGAGAGGUGGGCAGGUAUGAGAAAGCCAUCCAUCCAGAGCCCUCCAAAAAUCCCGCCCCCUGUGUCCUGGCCUCUACCCUCUGCUCCCUCCAGGCCCAGCCAGCUCUGCCCUGCUGGCCUGCUGUUUGUCUGGGGGUCUACAGCCUCUGCUACUCUGCCCCCCAGCUAGGCACUCAGUGCUGCUCAGCUCUGCAAACACUGGGGACUCCCAGGCUUGGAGUCACCUUUUAUGAGGAGGCAGGAAAUACCCCCCACAGCUGGGUCGUUUUCCUCGUCCUGGAGCCAGGUGUGAGGGCUAACUGAGUGGCAGACACUUAUGGGUUCAUCCUGACUUUGGGUCCAUGUGCUCCUCCAGGACAGAGGGCAUUCUGGGCCACCCUUGGGAAUUAUGAAGAGUGAGCUUUGCUGUGGCUGGAACCCCCAGACCUGCCUGCAUCGUCCCUCUGCCUGGCAUACCACAGAGAGCUCAGCUCACAAAGAAUUGGUCUCUCGGUGGGGGACUGGAAAGUCUGUGCAGCCCCCAUAGUCCCACCUUGCGUCCCCUCUCAGGUGCACAGAGUGUUCUGCCAAAUCAGGCGCUUCCAGAAGUCUUGCAAACCCCAUCCUGAGUAGGUGUCCUUGUCACUAGGGUUCCCAGGUUUGCCACUGCUGCGCAGCAGAGAGGACCCCUUGCUUGGCCUGAAGGCCUUAUUCCCGGUUCGAUGAGCUUCUGUAGAGCUAAGCCAGGCAGCCCAGAGUUCAUCCUUUGCUGGAACCCAGUUCCCACCAGGGUCAGCUGAGGGAAAGAUCCCACACAGGAGCCUGUGACCUUGGAGUGUGAUGCCAGGGAAAGAACACACUAUGCUGUGUUAGUCUCACUUCUUGGUGGGGCUCCCGUGCUGUAUAACCCCUCCUGGAGCCCACUAGGUCACUGACUGGGCAGCAGGGGUGGGGAACCCGAGGCCUGUGCAGAGGGGUAGUACUCAGCCAGGCAGCCCCCUAAACCCAGCCUGAUGCCAGUUUCAGGGUCUGAGUCUGUGCCUGGGCAAGCAUACGGGCAUGACUCAAAGCCUGGGUUCCAGCCCUAAAUAUCUGUGGGAUGAAUAUGCGGGGGGAGUGUCCCAGAGGUGGGGAGGUGAGAAGGUCCUCCUGGAGGGGCAUCCUGGUGGUACUGGCUUGGCCCAGCAGGAGGGGGAGGUAAGGGCAGGAAUAGCAGAAACAAGCAUUUCUCCCUUUGCCUAGGAAGCCAGAGGCCAGCUUGGACAGGGCUGUUUCAAAAUCGCUCUGGUAGGGGAGUGGCAGGUCUGCAGGGCAUGGGGCUCCUCAGCCCCUUCCCCAGAUGGCGGGCAGCCUGGACACCUCGGAGCCCACCCCUGCCUGGAAAGCCUCGCCCCCAGGGGCCAUGGGGACCUUACCUUGGCACUCUUCCUUCGGGUAGCUGGGCCUCGAGCUCCCCACUGCAGGCUGCUGCUUGU